UACGUAGGUGGCAAGCGUUGUUCGGAAUUAUUGGGCGUAAAGGGCGCGUAGGCGGCCUUCUAAGUCGAACGUGAAAUCCCCGGGCUCAACCCGGGAACUGCGUCCGAUACUGGAAGGCUUGAAUCCGGGAGAGGGAUGUGGAAUUCCACGUGUAGCGGUGAAAUGCGUAGAGAUGUGGAGGAACACCAGUGGCGAAGGCGACUCUUUGGCCUGUAACUGACGCUGAGGCGCGAAAGCGUGGGGAGCAAACAGG
rnacentral:rRNA from 1 species